AAGAAAUCAUCCAACCAUUCUCUUUCCCAACCCAGCACUACACCGCCGCUGCCUCCUCUCCUCCAUCUCUGCAUGGGCGCGCACCCCCAUCCUCCCCAACCUAGUCGCCGGCUGGCCGCUGCUCCCUCUCCUCCAUCUCUGCACGGGCGCGCACCCCCAUCCUCCUCAACCUGGUCGCCGGCCAGCCCCUGCGCGACGUCGUUCAUCGAGCUAGGGUUGGAGCAGCUCGGCGGCGAUGAGGAGCAGGCCAGCCCUCUCAAGAGGGUCGUCCACACCGUUGCCGUCGGUGACUUUCAGGGGCAGUCGGCGCCUCUCCUCUCUAAUCGCGACUCCGGCGACGUCGGCCAGGACGUUCGCAAUCGGCGCAAACGUGGUGGAGAUGUAGGGCCCCUUGAGGGAGAGGUCGAUGCUGAGUUGCGCCUGUUGAAGCAUGACGGAGAGGGGGGAGGCCUUCCGGCCACCGCCGGCUCAGCCUCAGCUUAUGAUCGAGGUGCAGCUCCAGCAGCACCGGCAGUUUGCUGCGGGUCAUCAGCAGAGCGCAGUUCAUCUUCCAAAUCAUGCCCCGACCCCGGCUGCAUCUCCCCUUCCGCUACACGAACGCCUUGGGUGCGGUCUUUAGUCCUCACUGGUGAGCCCCUCCAUAUUAUUUUGUAUAGGGCUUCAGCCGCUGCUGCUUGCUUCUGUUUUAGGUGGUUGCCGCUUUGACAGGCGUUUGUGAAGCGAAUCGGGUUCGUUCUUCGGUCCGUUGAAGUGGCCGGGGAUUGUUCCGGACGUGGGACUCUGAGGCGCCCCUUCUUCGUGGGUAUUUUGCUCUGCUUUUGUUUCUUCAUUGGAUAUGCCUCCAAUUUAAGCGCGCUGGCGAUGGCAAGAAGUUCGGCGUGGAAAGCGACCAGCUGGUUCCUUUCGUGGUAUUUGACUGGCUGUGCAGUCGAGUAGUGUGACCUGACGAUUUUUUUAUUUCCGUCUUUGGUUUCCGGUUCUGAUGGUCUGGGGUGAUCUCUGCUCCCUGUGCAAUGUGAUCUUAUAAUCUACUCCCUCCGUUCCUUUUAUGUACUAAGAGAAGCAUCUGACAUGUCCGUGCUGUACCGUCCCUGUUUCUCUUCUGGUCGGCACUCUGGUUCUUUGCAUAGUGUUGUUCCGAUUUUGUAGGCUGAUUGUAACCGGAAUGAGAACCGCAGUUGUUAGGAAUACCUUUUUGUUUUUACUGAGUGAAGCUACACCAGCCUCCUCGAAUCGAUGAUCAUGUAAGCAUCUAGCAGUCUUGAAUGUCACUCUCCCUAAACAUAUUUUGUCGAAAAACACUUUCUAAAUGACUGUCGUGAAGAAAUGAUGUUCUUUCUUCAGAUCAAUUUCAUUUGCAGGUAGCUAUUGCUCUGAAUGCAUUGCAAAUUUAUACACGCUGCAUUGCUCUGUGAAUUUUUCAAACCGGAAGUGGGAAUGAUAUCACUUCUUUGGAACUGAAGUUACAAUCGUAGGUGCAGUAUUAAUAUCUAUUUUGGCAUUCAUGUACUGAGAAGAAAAGUAUAUUAUUUUUAUUUAAUGUCAGUUUUUAAAGUAAAUUAGGAGGUCCCAGUAUGGAGUGCAAACUCAUCCUAUAUCAAGUGCAUUGUGUGUGGAACUAGGCUUUCUGUAGGUUGUGUGUGUAUCUAUUUUUAGUAGUGCGUGU